UAAUUUUGCUACGCUCCACAAUGAAACCCUCGAUCGCUUCACUCUGCAUGGUCCAGCCUCUUGCUCUCGCUUUGCCUCUCUCACCGUGCGUCGUCUGAGCGUCCUCAUUCCGCCGCUGUGUUUCCGUCAGGCAUUUUCCGGGUAAAUCUAAAAUAGCACUGCAGAGAACUAUUCCUUUCCCAAACUAUGAGAAGAUGAUAUUAUAUGGAAUAGAUAGAGCCUAUGGAAAUGAGGCGGAGACAACACGUGAGUGGAGAAAGAGACGUCGUUCUAUAGAAGAGGUCCCUAAAACUGUCAAUGAUAUUGAUAACCUCAUCUCACAAAACAAAGUUAAAAUUCCUAAACAAGAGCACUCAUCCACCACUAUUAAUGGUGCUUGCAUCAAGAGGAUAAAGAAGGUGGCUAAAGAGAAGGAUAAUAAUAUUAAGGAGCUAAUAGGGGCAAUACGUGCUGUGACUCAGGCAAUUGAACAAGGAAAUAUGAUACUAGCAAAAAUUUGCAAGCCUGUGCCACAAUUGUCAAGUGAAGAGCUUUGGAAAAUGCUUGAAGAAUGUGGGUGUGAUGCUAAAAGAAUACCUGACAUAUAUUGCUUUCUUAUGUGUGAUGUUGAUAGGUUAAGGGCAGCAAUUCAAUGUCCAAUUUCAGCACGAAAGCAAGUAAUAAUGAUGAUGUUCUCUGGUUCUAAUUAGAUGGUCCUUCAAUAAUUCAUGAUGACAUUAGUUAUAUGGUUUGUUACUCGCCCAAAAUGCGGCUCCUAAGCAUUGAAUGAUGAGUUUUGUUGAAUGUACUAAAUAUGACUUGCUAUA